CAGGCUUAACACAUGCAAGUCGAGGGGCAGCAUUUUAGUUUGCUUGCAAACUGAAGAUGGCGACCGGCGCACGGGUGAGUAACACGUAUCCAACCUGCCGAUAACUCCGGGAUAGCCUUUCGAAAGAAAGAUUAAUACCGGAUAGCAUACGAAUAUCGCAUGAUAUUUUUAUUAAAGAAUUUCGGUUAUCGAUGGGGAUGCGUUCCAUUAGUUUGUUGGCGGGGUAACGGCCCACCAAGACUACGAUGGAUAGGGGUUCUGAGAGGAAGGUCCCCCACAUUGGAACUGAGACACGGUCCAAACUCCUACGGGAGGCAGCAGUGAGGAAUAUUGGUCAAUGGGCGAGAGCCUGAACCAGCCAAGUAGCGUGAAGGAUGAAGGCUCUAUGGGUCGUAAACUUCUUUUAUAUGGGAAUAAAGUUUUCCACGUGUGGAAUUUUGUAUGUACCAUAUGAAUAAGGAUCGGCUAACUCCGUGCCAGCAGCCGCGGUAAUACGGAGGAUCCGAGCGUUAUCCGGAUUUAUUGGGUUUAAAGGGAGCGUAGGUGGAUUGUUAAGUCAGUUGUGAAAGUUUGCGGCUCAACCGUAAAAUUGCAGUUGAAACUGGCAGUCUUGAGUACAGUAGAGGUGGGCGGAAUUCGUGGUGUAGCGGUGAAAUGCUUAGAUAUCACGAAGAACUCCGAUUGCGAAGGCAGCUCACUAGACUGUCACUGACACUGAUGCUCGAAAGUGUGGGUAUCAAACAGGAUUAGAUACCCUGGUAGUCCACACAGUAAACGAUGAAUACUCGCUGUUUGCGAUAUACAGUAAGCGGCCAAGCGAAAGCAUUAAGUAUUCCACCUGGGGAGUACGCCGGCAACGGUGAAACUCAAAGGAAUUGACGGGGGCCCGCACAAGCGGAGGAACAUGUGGUUUAAUUCGAUGAUACGCGAGGAACCUUACCCGGGCUUAAAUUGCAACAGAAUAUAUUGGAAACAGUAUAGCCGUAAGGCUGUUGUGAAGGUGCUGCAUGGUUGUCGUCAGCUCGUGCCGUGAGGUGUCGGCUUAAGUGCCAUAACGAGCGCAACCCUUAUCUUUAGUUACUAACAGGUUAUGCUGAGGACUCUAGAGAGACUGCCGUCGUAAGAUGUGAGGAAGGUGGGGAUGACGUCAAAUCAGCACGGCCCUUACGUCCGGGGCUACACACGUGUUACAAUGGGGGGUACAGAAGGCGGCUACCUGGUGACAGGAUGCUAAUCCCAAAAACCUCUCUCAGUUCGGAUCGAAGUCUGCAACCCGACUUCGUGAAGCUGGAUUCGCUAGUAAUCGCGCAUCAGCCAUGGCGCGGUGAAUACGUUCCCGGGCCUUGUACACACCGCCCGUCAAGCCAUGAAAGCCGGGGGUACCUGAAGUACGUAACCGCAAGGAGCGUCCUAGGGUAAAACUGGUAAUUGGG
rnacentral:rRNA from 1 species